rnacentral:lncRNA from 1 species
UCCCAUAUUAUAACCUCUCAGGUUAUUUAAUCACCACACCUAAUAUAUAUAUUAGGUUACAUAACUUAAUUCUUACUUCACCCUUAUAUACAAAAUAAAUGUAUUCACAUUAUAUAAUGUAUAUUUAUUUACUCAUAUCCAUAAUUCACAUAAUCAUAACAUAUUUCACUUCUCACACUAAUUUUGACUUUUCUCCAUAAAAAGUUAACUGUUGACUUUGACCAAAAGUCAACCUUUACACAUUUUGUGCUUACUGUCCAUUCUGACUAAACUCGACGUUUUGGACGCAAUCGAGCAGUCCAUGCUUCAAAAUUCUAUCUCUAACUCAAAUUUUGAGUUUUAAAUUACUCCAUUCUCAUUACUAAUCGUAUUAACUAACGACUUUAUACUUAUUCAAAUUCUUAUUUGCCAAUCAAGGCCAACACUCAAGCUAUGUUAAUUACUAACAUAGUUUUAAUCUUGAUCAUUAUAUCAUUAACUUAAUUCAUCAUUCUUCUUGCUUAAAUAUAUAUAGCACAUUACUAAGUAUAUAUAUAUUUCUAUACAUAUACUCAUCUUCGUUUAACCUCAUAGCAUCUCUUCAUGUGAAAUCUUAUUUCCAAUAAUAAAAUUUCCAUAUGUACUUAUAUAACAUUUCUUAGACUAUUCAGUUCACAUCGAAUUUACAGGUAUCGUAAUACCUUAUUCUUGAUAUUCCUUCAAGUACAUAUUAAUUCAUUUCUAGGGUUUUGGAAUUUUGUAACCCAUAUUUUCUCUAUUCUCAUUCGAAUAUCAAACCAUAUAGGUUUUUCUUGAAAAUUUUAAAUAAAUUCUCAAAUUCUCAUCUAGGUUUUAUUCUUUAAC